GACGAACGCUGGCGGCGUGCUUAACACAUGCAAGUCGAACGAUGAAGCGCUGUCUUUUUGGUGGUGUGGAUUAGUGGCGAACGGGUGAGUAAUACGCGGGCAACCUGCCCCUCUGCUUCGGGAUAAGCUUUGGAAACGGGGUCUAAUACCGGAUGUGCCUGUCUGGUCGCAUGGCUGGGCGGGGAAAGAUGUUUUUCGGCGGGGGAUGGGCUCGCGGCCUAUCAGCUUGUUGGUGGGGUGACGGCCUACCAAGGCGUCGACGGGUAGCCGGCCUGAGAGGGUGGUCGGCCACACUAGGACUGAGAUACGGCCCAGACUCCUACGGGAGGCAGCAGUGGGGGAUAUUGCACAAUGGGCGCAAGCCUGAUGCAGCGACGCCGCGUGGGGGAUGGAGGCUUUCGGGUUGUAAACCCCUUUCGGCGCGGGACAAGGCUCCGUUUGGCGGGGUUGAGGGUACGCGUCAAAGAAGCGCCGGCUAACUACGUGCCAGCAGCCGCGGUAAUACCUAGGGCGCGAGCGUUGUCCGGAAUUAUUGGGCGUAAAGGGCUUGUAGGCGGCCGGCCGCGUCCGUCGUGAAAAUCCUUCGGCUCAACCGGGGGCUUGCGGUGGGUACGGGUCGGCUGGAGUGCGGUAGGGGGAGGCUGGAACUCCUGGUGUAGCGGUGAAUGCGCAGAUAUCACGAGGGAACACCGGGGGCUAGGCGGGUCUUCUGGGCCGUUUUCUGACGCUGAAGAGCGAAAGCGUGGGGAGCAAAAAGGAUUAAUACUCUGAUAUUCCAGGGCGAAUUCGCGUGGGGCGCCGUCCGGGGAUCGAGUAGUUCUAAGCGACCCCCCUCGUGUAGCAAAAAAAACAUACAAUAAU
rnacentral:rRNA from 1 species